UGUGAACUCGAAGAGUAGGGCGGGACACGUGGUAUCCUGUCUGAAUAUGGGGGGACCAUCCUCCAAGGCUAAAUACUCCUGACUGACCGAUAGUGAACCAGUACCGUGAGGGAAAGGCGAAAAGAACCCCGGCGAGGGGAGUGAAAAAGAACCUGAAACCGUGUACGUACAAGCAGUGGGAGCCUCUUUAUGGGGUGACUGCGUACCUUUUGUAUAAUGGGUCAGCGACUUAUAUUCUGUAGCAAGGUUAACCGUAUAGGGGAGCCGAAGGGAAACCGAGUCUUAACUGGGCGUUAAGUUGCAGGGUAUAGACCCGAAACCCGGUGAUCUAGCCAUGGGCAGGUUGAAGGUUGGGUAACACUAACUGGAGGACCGAACCGACUAAUGUUGAAAAAUUAGCGGAUGACCUGUGGCUGGGGGUGAAAGGCCAAUCAAACCGGGAGAUAGCUGGUUCUCCCCGAAAGCUAUUUAGGUAGCGCCUCGUGAACUCAUCUUCGGGGGUAGAGCACUGUUUCGGCUAGGGGGCCAUCCCGGCUUACCAACCCGAUGCAAACUACGAAUACCGAAGAAUGUUAUCACGGGAGACACACGGCGGGUGCUAACGUCCGUCGUGAAGAGGGAAACAACCCAGACCGCCAGCUAAGGUCCCAAAGUCAUGGUUAAGUGGGAAACGAUGUGGGAAGGCACAGACAGCCAGGAUGUUGGCUUAGAAGCAGCCAUCAUUUAAAGAAAGCGUAAUAGCUCACUGGUCGAGUCGGCCUGCGCGGAAGAUGUAACGGGGCUAAACCAUGCACCGAAGCUGCGGCAGCGACACUAUGUGUUGUUGGGUAGGGGAGCGUUCUGUAAGCCGUUGAAGGUGUGCUGUGAGGCAUGCUGGAGGUAUCAGAAGUGCGAAUGCUGACAUAAGUAACGAUAAAGCGGGUGAAAAGCCCGCUCGCCGGAAGACCAAGGGUUCCUGUCCAACGUUAAUCGGGGCAGGGUGAGUCGACCCCUAAGGCGAGGCCGAAAGGCGUAGUCGAUGGGAAACAGGUUAAUAUUCCUGUACUUGGUGUUACUGCGAAGGGGGGACGGAGAAGGCUAUGUCAGCCGGGCGACGGUUGUCCCGGUUUAAGCAUGUAGGCGGAGGUUCCAGGUAAAUCCGGUACCUUAUUAACGCUGAGGUGUGAUGACGAGGCACUACGGUGCUGAAGUGAUAAAUGCCCUGCUUCCAGGAAAAGCCUCUAAGCAUCAGGUAACACGAAAUCGUACCCCAAACCGACACAGGUGGUCAGGUAGAGAAUACCAAGGCGCUUGAGAGAACUCGGGUGAAGGAACUAGGCAAAAUGGUGCCGUAACUUCGGGAGAAGGCACGCUGAUAUGUAGGUGAAGCCCCUGCGGGCGGAGCUGAAAUCAGUCGAAGAUACCAGCUGGCUGCAACUGUUUAUUAAAAACACAGCACUGUGCAAACACGAAAGUGGACGUAUACGGUGUGACGCCUGCCCGGUGCCGGAAGGUUAAUUGAUGGGGUUAGCGGCAACGCGAAGCUCUUGAUCGAAGCCCCGGUAAACGGCGGCCGUAACUAUAACGGUCCUAAGGUAGCGAAAUUCCUUGUCGGGUAAGUUCCGACCUGCACGAAUGGCGUAAUGAUGGCCAGGCUGUCUCCACCCGAGACUCAGUGAAAUUGAACUCGCUGUGAAGAUGCAGUGUACCCGCGGCAAGACGGAAAGACCCCGUGAACCUUUACUAUAGCUUGACACUGAACACUGGUCCUUGAUGUGUAGGAUAGGUGGGAGGCUUUGAAGCGUGGACGCCAGUCUGCGUGGAGCCNNNCCGGGUUGCGGACAGUGUCUGGUGGGUAGUUUGACUGGGGCGGUCUCCUCCCAAAGAGUAACGGAGGAGCACGAAGGUUGGCUAAUCCUGGUCGGACAUCAGGAGGUUAGUGCAAUGGCAUAAGCCAGCUUGACUGCGAGCGUGACGGCGCGAGCAGGUGCGAAAGCAGGUCAUAGUGAUCCGGUGGUUCUGAAUGGAAGGGCCAUCGCUCAACGGAUAAAAGGUACUCCGGGGAUAACAGGCUGAUACCGCCCAAGAGUUCAUAUCGACGGCGGUGUUUGGCACCUCGAUGUCGGCUCAUCACAUCCUGGGGCUGAAGUAGGUCCCAAGGGUAUGGCUGUUCGCCAUUUAAAGUGGUACGCGAGCUGGGUUUAGAACGUCGUGAGACAGUUCGGUCCCUAUCUGCCGUGGGCGCUGGAGAAUUGAGGGGGGCUGCUCCUAGUACGAGAGGACCGGAGUGGACGCAUCACUGGUGUUCGGGUUGUCAUGCCAAUGGCACUGCCCGGUAGCUAAAUGCGGAAGAGAUAAGUGCUGAAAGCAUCUAAGCACGAAACUUGCCCCGAGAUGAGUUCUCCCUGAGACUUUAAGUCUCCUGAAGGAACGUUGAAGACGACGACGUUGAUAGGUCGGGUGUGUAAGCGCAGCGAUGCGUUGAGCUAACCGAUACUAAUGAACCGUGAGGCUUAACCUU
rnacentral:rRNA from 1 species